UGGAGCUUAUUCGAGUCAUCAUAAGAAAUUUGAAAACUCACUUUCCACCGAAGAAGAAGAUCUAGUUCCCGCAAUGGGUUCUUCAUAGUUUUGCCUAUAUGUAUUUGUUCACAUUAUCAUACAUUUUGGAAUUUUAGGUUUCAAUAUAUCUUUAACUUACUUCUAUUAUUCUUAUUUGCAGAAGAUGAAGUUGAUGGUGAAGAAGAGAAAUCUCCAUCUUUUUUCUCGCUUGUUGGUGAUAAAGAUGAAGAACAAGAAGUGUGAUUGAUUUUUUAUUUAUUUUUGGGAUUAUCUUUGAUUUGGUGUUGGUUUUAUUCAAUAUUGGAUUCAGAAAAAUAAAGCAUUUGUUAUGAACUUAUGAGUUAUAAUAUUUGGAUUCAGCAACUAAAGUAUUGUUUAUUUUUAAAAUGUUUGGAGUCUAACAAAACUAGUGUUUUGAUCCAACUAAAAUCUUCAACUAACAAGUGUAUUGCUUUAUCCUGUUCAAUCUUCGACUAAACUCACUUACUGAUGCGUCAUGAAACUGAUAAAGCGUCUUGAAUCAUGUCUUGAAGCGUUCAGGACCCAUAUGUUCGUUUGUAAUUCUACGUCCCGCGGGCCGAUCCGCAAAGACCUACAUGUUUUGCAGUACGGGUUUGGUCAGCCAUUUUGAGGACUGCAUGACCCGCCAUGAUCCGCUCGAAGACGAGCCCGCUGCGGUACGGGACGGAUCAACCUGUUUAACAUUCCUAUUCCGGAUACUGAGCGAUUGCCACAUGGAUGGAAAAGGCGAGCUAUUUUUUCCUUCGUUCUGUUGAAUCAAUCAGGCAAAGAGAUACACCGAACACUUGGUAAUUAACUUUCAAUGUAUUAUAUAUCUGAUGGAAGUCAACUUAUCAUCCAUCUAUAUAGAAUACUAGGUAGAAUAGAUUGAUAAAGGAUAUUUUGUUUUUAAUAAAUAUCUUUCUGCUUAUGUCUGACAGAAGCCUAUCGCUUGUUCUGCGCUUGGGGCUCAUCAUGGAGCUGGCCUCUUGGAAAGCUUCAAGAAAAGGGAUUUCUGGAGAAGAACAUUCUCACUAUUAAACUUGAAAUCGAAGUUUUUGAUAUUAUUGAUGUCUUCGGUUUGGGAGCUUUCCGAGAAGCACCCGGACAUUGCAGUGAAUUUUAGACCAAAGAACCACUUUUUGAAGAAAACAUACAUGCAUGUCCUGCUUGGUCUCAUUGGACAAGGCUCCACAUAGCAUCUCCGAUACUGAGCUAAGCAACGCUCGCAGCGAGUUGAUUGAUCUAACAGAAGCGGGCUUUAAGCUAGACUGGUUGAAGACAAAGCUUGAUGAGGUUUCCUUGGAGAGGAAGAAGGCAAAUGCUAAUGUUUCUUAUGUCCUAGAACUCGAGGAACAUAUCAAGAAUCUUAAAGUUGAACUGAAUAAAGAGAAGGUCAAAUCUGCUGCCAAAUUUUUGUCACUGGAGCAGGAGGUGUCAGCUCUCAAAUAUGAGCUGAACAAGGACGCAAGAUCUUCCACUUAAGCUUCGUCCUUCAAAGAUGUUUGUUUUUCCAUUACGAAGAGUAGCAGAGGACGUCUGCCUAGGGGGUUUGUUAUGAAAUAUUAGACUGAAAAUUAUUUCUAUAUUUUUAUUAAUUGCCUUUUUUUUUGCUAAUCAAAAUGUUUCAGAUUUGAUGAUAAAGUCAAUAGGUUCUCGUUCAGAAACAGGAAAAAAAAAAAAGAUAAAGCAAA